rnacentral:miRNA from 1 species
UUUCGAUGAUAUGAUGAUGAUGAUAAUGAUCAUCGUCAUCAUCAUCAUCAUCAUCAUCAUCAUCA